AGCAUCUGCAAGCAUAUACAAAAGUUGCUGCGUUUAAAAAGCUCGUAGUUGGAUCUGUUGGUAGAGUUGCGGAAAGCGGGGGUCCCUUUGUGUCCCUACGUGUGACUCGACCACCUUCCCGUUAAGAGUGUUUGCACUUAAUUGUGUUGAAUGCUCGAGAUGGAAUUAUUACUCAGAAUAAAUCAGAGUGAUUAAAGCAGGCUUUGGCCUUGAAUGAUAAAGCUUAGAAUAUGGAAAGAAGACCCUUUCAUUGCGUUGAUGAUUGGUUUGCGAUGUUUGGAUAAUGAUUGAAAGAAACAGGAGUGGGCAUUCGUAUUGCUACGUUAGAGGUGAAAUUCUUGGAUCGUGGCAAGACGUACUACUGCGAAAGCAUUUGCCAAGGAUGUUUUCAUUAAUCAAG
rnacentral:rRNA from 1 species